GAAGUGACAGUGGAAACGCGACUGGCCCUGGCACGCACUAGCACGCCCGGUCCUAGCUCGAUAGUGGAAACACGGCAGAUGUUUAUACAUCAUUGCUGUGUGAAGACUGCUGAAGAGAAGUAACAAUUUUGUCCUGUAGAGGGCGCACACUUCCUCCUCUUAAACCCCAGGAGCGAGAACCUUCCUCCUUUCUCCAGGAAGACGCAGAGCAGAGACCAUAGACAGUAAAAGAAAGAGAGCAGAGACAGUCAGACUCAACUCUUAUUGCAUCUAUGGCCAGAUUACAGUCCUCUACAGCGAUUUACCAGCACGGCAUCCCAGGACAUGGGCCACUCGCUCUCCCUGGGGUCCGUGAAUCCGCUGAGAGCAGAGGGAAAGGGAGUUAAAUGAAAAUGCAUUUAGCAUGCAGGAGGCGUCUGUUACCUGUCUGUCAGGUGCUGCAUUAGCAGACGAGUUUGCAGCAUUAAAGCCAAGAUGAAGUGAAACUUUGAAUGGUACGCCAAGAAAACAACAAACGUCAAGGAUUGUAAGUUUUUCCACAGGCAAAACUAUAAAUCCAGAUGGUGUGGAGGAUCGACCCGAGCCGAUGGAAAAUAACAGUGGAGGGCUGAAAAGCCUGAAAACAAAUAUUUCUGAAGGUGGUGAUAGAAUAAGACUUUCACACCUACAGUACCUUCCACACAUGGCUUCACACACUGGGCAGGGUAGAGAAAGCCCAGAUCAACACAAAUGUAAAUGUGCCACUUUAGUGUGUUAUAUUAUGUAAUGUUAUUGUCUGAUGUUCUCCACUGUGAUAUUUCUCCCUGUUUCAUAAUAAACAUUCAACAAGGUAUCCAAA